rnacentral:tRNA from 7 species
GGCGGGGUAGCUCAGAUGGUUAGAGCGUUGGAUUCAUAACCCAAAGGUCGGCAGUUCGAUUCUGCUCCCCGCUACCA